UACGUAGGGGGCAAGCGUUAUCCGGAUUUACUGGGUGUAAAGGGAGCGUAGACGGUACGCCAAGUCUGAAGUGAAAUGCCGCAGCUUAACUGCGGAACUGCUUUGGAAACUGGCGGGCUAGAGUGCGGGAGGGGUAAGCGGAAUUCCCAGUGUAGCGGUGGAAUGCGCAGAUAUUGGGAAGAACACCGGCGGCGAAGGCGGCCUUCUGGGCCACGACUGACGCUGAGGCGCGAAAGCUAGGGGAGCGAACAGG
rnacentral:rRNA from 1 species